rnacentral:lncRNA from 1 species
AAGGCAAGGCGGUCCCCAAAUUCCAGCAGCAGCAGUAGCUAAGCAAAGCAAUGGCGCUCUCCUGCGGCUUACUCGCCGGCGCCCGGGCGGCAGCCUUCCCUUCCCUCCCCUCCUCCGCCGCUCUCCUCCGGCGCCGACGCUGCCCGCCAGCAGUUGCCGUGGGUCCACUCCCGCACGCCGAGCGAUGGCGCCGCGGCCUCCGCUUCUGCUGCGCUUCGUCCUCGUCAUCAUCGCCUCCGCUGCCGCCGGCGCCGCCCGAGGAGCCCGAAGAC